rnacentral:rRNA from 1 species
GACGAACGCUGGCGGCGUGCCUAAUACAUGCAAGUUGAGCGCUGAAGGUUGGUACUUGUGCCGACUGGGUGAGCAGCGCACGGGUGAGUAACGCGUGGGGAAUCUGCCUGUGAGCGGGGGACAACAUGGGGAAACGAAUGCUAAUACCGCAUAAAAACUUUAAACACAGGGUGUAAGGUUGAAAGAUGCAAGUGCAUCACUGAAAGAUGAUCCCGCGUUGUGUUAGCUAGUUGGCGAGGUAAAGGCGCAUCAAGGCGAUGAUACAUAGCCCAACUGAGAGGGUGAGUGGCCACACUGGGACGGAGACAGGGCCCAAACGCAUUCGGGUGGGAGCAGUAGGGCAACGUCGGCAAGGGGUGAAAGACUGACCGAGAAACGCCGAGUGAUGGUAGAAGGUUUUCGCGUCGGAAAUCUCGGUUGGUAGAGAAGAACGUUGGUGAGCGUGGAACGAUCAGCAAGUGACGGUAACUACUCAGAAAGGAACGGCUAACUACGUG